UUUGUACUCCCUCCGUCCGGAAAUACUUGUCGGAGAAAUGGAUGAAAAUGGAUGUAUCUAUAACUAAACUGCAUCUAGAUACAUCCAUUCUUCCGACAAGUAUUUUCGGACGGAGGGAGUAAUAA
rfam:Triticum aestivum genome assembly, contig: Triticum_aestivum_CS42_TGACv1_scaffold_500134_6BL